AUUGAACGCUGGCGGCAUGCCUUACACAUGCAAGUCGAACGGUAAAGGGCCUUCGGGUGCCGACGAGUGGCGAACGGGUGAGUAAUGCAUCGGAACGUACCUUUCAGUGGGGGAUAACGUAGCGAAAGUUACGCUAAUACCGCAUAUUCUGUGAGCAGGAAAGCAGGGGAUCGCAAGACCUUGCGCUGAUUGAGCGGCCGAUGUCAGAUUAGCUAGUUGGUGAGGUAAAGGCUCACCAAGGCGACGAUCUGUAGCGGGUCUGAGAGGAUGAUCCGCCACACUGGAACUGAGACACGGUCCAGACUCCUACGGGAGGCAGCAGUGGGGAAUUUUGGACAAUGGGGGCAACCCUGAUCCAGCCAUGCCGCGUGAGUGAAGAAGGCCUCGG
rnacentral:rRNA from 1 species